UUUUUUUUUUUUUUUUUUCAUAAUAAGAAAGGGAAAUAACAAUGAAAGGGAAGGUAACAUACUUGAAAAAUGGAAAUAGGAAGAAUAUUGUUUCCCCCCCAUACUUAAACUAAACAUUGUCCUCAAUGUUUUAAGGGAAAGAAAUACAAAAUGGAAAUGCAAAGAAAAUAACAACUAAGGCUGCCUUCCGCCUCUGGUUCUUGGACCUGGUGAUCUUUGACGUAUGUCU
rnacentral:lncRNA from 1 species